UACGUAGGGGGCAAGCGUUGUCCGGAAUCAUUGGGCGUAAAGAGCGUGUAGGCGGCCCGGUAAGUCCGUUGUGAAAGUCGAGGGCUCAACCCUCGAAUGCCGGCGGAUACUGCCGGGCUAGAAUCCGGAAGAGGCGAGUGGAAUUCCUGGUGUAGCGGUGAAAUGCGCAGAUAUCAGGAGGAACACCAAUGGCGAAGGCAGCUCGCUGGGACGGUACUGACGCUGAGACGCGAAAGCGUGGGGAGCAAACAGG
rnacentral:rRNA from 1 species